rnacentral:rRNA from 1 species
UACGGGGGGGGCAAGCGUUGUUCGGAAUUACUGGGCGUAAAGCGCACGCAGGCGGCGCAUUAAGUCUGAUGUGAAAUCUCCCGGCUUAACUGGGAGGGGUCAUUGGAAACUGAUGUGCUCGAGGCGGUGAGAGGGGUGUAGAAUUCCCGGUGUAGUGGUGGAAUGCGUAGAUAUCGGGAGGAACACCAGUGGCGAAGGCGACUACCUGGCCUGUUCUUGACGCUGAGGCGCGAAAGCUAGGGGAGCAAACGGG